AGGCACCAAAAUCGUGGAAAUUUAGUUAUUUUCCAAGUGAUUCGACUAUAAACAUGUCCAAGCAAUUGAUGGUUUGUUUGGUUCUGGUUGCGGUUUUGGGAGACCAAUUCAUGCAAAUUGAAUGUGCUGGUGGAAGUGGAUCGGUUGACAAGGGAAAGGGACCCAUAACAAAAG